rnacentral:rRNA from 1 species
GACGAACGCUGGCGGCGUGCCUAAUACAUGCAAGUCGAACGCUUCUUUCCUCCCGAGUGCUUGCACUCAAUUGGAAAGAGGAGUGGCGGACGGGUGAGUAACACGUGGGUAACCUACCCAUCAGAGGGGGAUAACACUUGGAAACAGGUGCUAAUACCGCAUAACAGUUUAUGCCGCAUGGCAUAAGAGUGAAGGGCGCUUUCGGGUGUCGCUGAUGGAUGGACCCGCGGUGCAUUAGCUAGUUGAUGAGGUAACGGCUCACCAAGGCCACGAUGCAUAGCCGACCUGAGAGGGUGAUCGGCCACACUGGGACUGAGAAACGGCCCAGACUCCUACGGGAGGCAGCAGUAGGGAAUCUUCGGCAAUGGACGGAAGUCUGACCGAGCAACGCCGCGUGAGUGAAGAAGGUUUUCGGAUCGUAAAACUCUGUUGUUAGAGAAGAACAAGGACGUUAGUAACUGAACGUCCCCUGACGGUAUCUAACCAGAAAGCCACGGCUAACUACGUGCCAGCAGCCGCCGUAA